rnacentral:rRNA from 1 species
GAGGGAAGCAUACAUGCAGUCGAGCGAAGCGCUUAAGUCUGAUUCUUCGGACGAAGGCUUUUGUGACUGAGCGGCGGACGGGUGAGUAACGCGUGGGCAACCUGCCUUACACAGGGGGAUAACAGUUAGAAAUGACUGCUAAUACCGCAUAAGACCACAGAGCUGCAUGGCUAAGUGGUAAAAACUCUGGUGGUGUAAGAUGGGCCCGCGUCUGAUUAGGUAGUUGGUGAGGUAACGGCUCACCAAGCCGACGAUCAGUAGCCGACCUGAGAGGGUGACCGGCCACAUUGGGACUGAGACACGGCCCAGACUCCUACGGGAGGCAGCAGUGGGGAAUAUUGCACAAUGGGGGAAACCCUGAUGCAGCGACGCCGCGUGAGCGAUGAAGUAUUUCGGUAUGUAAAGCUCUAUCAGCAGGGAAGAAAAUGACGGUACCUGACUAAGAAGCCCCGGCUAACUACGUGCCAGCAGCCGCGGUAAUACGUAGGGGGCAAGCGUUAUCCGGAUUUACUGGGUGUAAAGGGAGCGUAGACGGCCAUUCAAGCCAGAUGUGAAAGCCCGGGGCUCAACCCCGGGACUGCAUUUGGAACUGUGGGGCUAGAGUGUCGGAGAGGCAGGCGGAAUUCCUAGUGUAGCGGUGAAAUGCGUAGAUAUUAGGAGGAACACCAGUGGCGAAGGCGGCUUACUGGACGACUACUGACGCUGAGGCUCGAAAGCGUGGGGAGCAAACAGGAUUACAUACCCUGCUAGUCCACGCCGUACACGAUGUAUACCAGGUGGUCGGCCACCAGGAUGGCCGGUGCCGUAUCUUACGCAUUAUUUUCCCCCUGGGGAGUAACUCGGCUAGGAA